CGACCUUUCUUCCUUCGCUUAAUUUCUGCCUAACUAUAUGCCCCAAAGUUGGAUUUACUGGUUGAAAGAAUUCAUCAACAACAUUUUGUGCCCUCAAAUCCUCUGAAGAUGAACAAACUCCAGAUGGUAUCAAUGCUGAAUUUGAUUGAGUACUGACAAGAGAACUACUAGUUGUAGGAGGUUGCCGUUUUUUUGGCCUUUGAUGAGGUCCACCAGGUAACCUCCAUAGCUUCCAGGUAAAUACUACUGCAACAGCAAGGCCAGCAAUAGCCACAACAGAUCGAGAAUCCAGGUUAUGGAAUGAGGUCGGGAAGAGAUGGGAAAU
rnacentral:misc_RNA from 1 species